AUUGAACGCUGGCGGCAGGCCUAACACAUGCAAGUCGAGCGGAGCGGCGGACGGGUGAGUAAUGCCUAGGUAUCUGCCUAGUAGUGGGGGAUAACGUCCGGAAACGGGCGCUAAUACCGCAUACUCUCAGAUGAGCAUAGGUCGGAUGAGAUAGGUGGGGGGGUAAAGGUCUACCAAGGCGAGGAUCCGUAACUGGUCUGAGAGGAUGAUCAGUCACGCUGGAACUGAGACACGGGCCAGCCUCCUACGGGAGGCAGCAGUGGGGAAUAUUGGACAAUGGGCGAAAGCCUGAUCCAGCCAUGCCGCGUGUGUGAAGAAGGUCUUAGGAUUGUAAAGCACUUUAAGUUGGGAGGCGUUACCAACAGAAUAAGCACCGGCUAACUUCGUGCCAGCAGCCGCGGUAAUAC
rnacentral:rRNA from 1 species